rnacentral:rRNA from 1 species
GACGAACGCUGGCGGCGUGCCUAACACAUGCAAGUCGAGCGAUGAAGUUCCUUCGGGAACGGAUUAGCGGCGGACGGGUGAGUAACACGUGGGCAACCUGCCUUAUAGAGGGGAAUAGCCUUCCGAAAGGAAGAUUAAUACCGCAUAAGAUUGUAGCUUCGCAUGAAGUAGCAAUUAAAGGAGCAAUCCACUAUAAGAUGGGCCCGCGGCGCAUUAGCUAGUUGGUGAGGUAACGGCCCACCAAGGCGACGAUCAGUAGCCGGACUGAGAGGUUGAACGGCCACAUUGGGACUGAGACACGGCCCAG